rnacentral:rRNA from 1 species
AUACGGAGGAUGCGAGCGUUAUCCGGAUUUAUUGGGUUUAAAGGGAGCGUAGGUGGGAUAUUAAGUCAGCUGUGAAAGUUUGGGGCUCAACCUUAAAAUUGCAGUUGAUACUGGUUUCCUUGAGUACGGUACAGGUGGGCGGAAUUCGUGGUGUAGCGGUGAAAUGCUUAGAUAUCACGAAGAACUCCGAUCGCGAAGGCAGCUCAACGGGCCGGAACUGACGCUGAUGCUCGAAAGUGCGGGUAUCAAACAGGAUUAGAUACCCUGGUAGUCCGCACAGUAAACGAUGAAUACUCGCUGUUUGCGAUACACUGUAAGCGGCCAAGCGAAAGCGUUAAGUAUUCCACCUGGGGAGUACGCCGUCAACGGUGAAACUCAAAGGAAUUGACGGGG